CCCUGUGCUCUGCCUCCAGCUAUAAGCUUAAGAAUUAAAAGCUUGACAACGCUGAGUUGUAGACAACACCCCUUCAAUACUUUCUGGCUCAGUGGCUCUGUGAAAACCUCUUUGAAGGUGCAGCUCUUCAAAAAGGCUCUGCAGCAGCACAACCGAAAUGUUUGCUGCUAAAUAUAGAAAUGCACUUGCUCUGAGCAAGGCUGGUUUGCUUCAGGUUCACCUUCGGAGCUGCAUUUGUAGAUACAGUAUGGAUUUUGAGGAGAAAAAGUGAGAGGAAUAAACGCAACAUUUUGGUGAACAGAAGCAGAGACUGCAACACCCAGACCCUGGAGCGAUGUUCAAGAUGACAUCUGCUGCUUCAGCUGAAGAUCUUCAGAGCCUCACCUCCAUGGUUUAAAAUCUUCUGCUAGAAACAUGCAAAAAGGAGAGGGGAAAAAGAAUGACAAAAUAGGUAAAAUAAAACAGAAUAACGGAAAAACUGUAAUAACUUGAAUUUCUUUAGAGCUGAACAUUAUGUUUGUUACAUUUAACAAUGUAACACCUUUUACUUUGAACAUUUAAGAAUGCUUGUGAAA